GACGAACCCGUGCGAACGUUGUUCGGAAUCACUGGGCUUAAAGGGCGCGUAGGCGGCUGACCAAGUCCGGGGUGAAAUCCUGCAGCUUAACUGUAGAAGUGCCCUAGAUACUGGUUGGCUCGAGGGAGGUAGGGGUCUGUGGAACUUCUGGUGGAGCGGUGAAAUGCGUUGAUAUCAGAAGGAACGCCGGUGGCGAAAGCGACGGACUGGACCUCUUCUGACGCUGAGGCGCGAAAGCCAGGGGAGCAAACGGGAUUAGAA
rnacentral:rRNA from 1 species